GUGAUAGUGGCUGAUUACUGCUCCAGGUCUUACCUAUUGCAAACAUAUGAAGUGAGGAUCAGACAGACCAUCAUGCUCACAGCUAGGGAACACUGUUAGGCAGUGAGGGGUGAAUUGUCCUGAUGGUGAUGCACAGAUGCCACACAAAGAUGAAGAGAGCCUUCAUUUACCUCUGUAACAGAUAAAGCAUGCAACUUUACAAGAAAG